rnacentral:lncRNA from 1 species
GGCUUGCAAUCUUGGAUCAAAAACACCAUAGAUUGUGAUGCCCUUGUUUAAAACCAUGAUUUUAAUACAGUAUUGAUUUGAAAAAUCUUUUUCAUAACUUUGAAAACUGCUCCAUGAAUUUAGAAAAAGCAAUGUUUAUAAAAAUUUAACCUCUAACUAAUCAUGACAAAAACGGAAAAAUUGAUCCUUCCUCUUCGCCGGA